GACGUAGGGCGCGAGCGUUGUCCGGAUUUAUUGGGCGUAAAGAGCUCGUAGGCGGUUUGUUGCGUCGACUGUGAAAACCCGCGGCUUAACUGCGGGCUUGCAGUUGAUACGGGCAGGCUAGAGUUCGGUAGGGGAGACUGGAAUUCCUGGUGUAGCGGUGAAAUGCGCAGAUAUCAGGAGGAACACCGGUGGCGAAGGCGGGUCUCUGGGCCGAUACUGACGCUGAGGAGCGAAAGCGUGGGGAGCGAACAGG
rnacentral:rRNA from 1 species